rnacentral:tRNA from 1 species
GAGCCCGUAGCUCAAUGGCAGAGCGUGGCGCUCUCUAUCCCGCCAAGGUGUAGGUUCGAUUCCUGCCGGGUUCG